rnacentral:rRNA from 1 species
GGAUCAAUAUGUCGGUCGUGCCUUUGGUACGUACUGGCAUCAUUGGUUUCUCCCUUCUGACAAACCAUGAUGUCAUUAAUUUGGUGUUAUGGGGAGUUAGGACUGUUACUUUGAAAAAAUUAGAGUGUUUAAAGCAGGCAUUAGCUUGAAUACAUUAGCAUGGAAUAAUGAAAUAGGACGUUUGACCCUAUUUUGUUGGUUUCUAGGAUCGACGUAAUGAUUAAUAGGGA